GUGUGCUCCUAUAUCUGAUCUGCUAAAGAAAGCACAGGUAGACAUCAGCUUUGCCCCAGACCAGGCUCUCCAUUUUGCCCCUUCAGCUGAUGUACUCUGCUCUCAAAAGGGUUUCCACGGCCCUUCUUGGCCCUUAUGGGCUCCAGAAAAUGCUCUGGCCAUGGUGACUCUGUGGAGAGUCUACCCAAGGGCUAGGCUUUCCACACGUGGCACGCCCUCUGGACUUGAGUAGGGCCCCAUGCUCCCUCCUCGGGACUGUUGGAGCAGGUUUCUCUGACGGUGAGAGAAGCCUGAUCUCAGUGGCAGCUCUUAUAGCCAGGAGGAUGGUGGGUGGGGGGCGAUAUGUCCAGCUCAGGAGGAAGCAACGCUGAGCUGAAUAUUGUGUAAAUUUCAGACCCUUAUCCUCUAUAUGAGUACAUGGUACCAGGCGCUGAGGAGUCAUAAUCCCUCAGGAUGGACAAGCUCACUAUUGAGCAGUUGAGCUGCUGCAAGGAACUGGUGAAGCAACAGCUGAGAAGUUUUUAGUCAUCCUCCUGCACAGAGACAACUUUCUGUUUCGCUGCCAGUUUCUGUACCCUACUCCACUGCCCUUAAGAGUGUAAAAUCCACCUGUCCUUGCUUGGAUGCCUCUAAAUUCUAGGUUUCAUGGAUUCUGUAACAAGAAGGGAAGAGGGCCCUGGAAGAGCAACUGAGAAAAAGUCCCGGAGUCUUUAGAAGAAAACAAGAGAAAAAGGCAGGUCACUAGAGGGAAGGGUAGUCUGACAGACCCUGCCUCCCUCUCCCCUGGGCCUGAGACCAAGGAUAAUAAAUCAGUGCUCAUACUGCAACUUGGUUCUCCUUCUCGAGCAAGGGCUGGGGUCGGCCCCGAGCAGAGCUGGAAUAUCAGGUCAGAGGUAGACCUGGCUCAGGAUCAAAGGGCCAGGCUGGUCCUGACUGACCAGUUCUCGCUGCUCCACCUGCGAUCAGAGCUAAGUCCUUCCAGCUUCCUGGGCUUCUACCAAACACAUGGGUAGCACUUUAAGCCCCAACUACCUUGCCAGCCACUGCAAAAAUGGGAGUCUUUCCAAAUGCAUUUACUCGGACUUGGCCAUGAUUUACGUCCUUUCAUUACCAGAACUGGAUUAUAAAGUAUGCUUCAUUUAAU